AACGAACGCUGGCGGCAGGCUUAACACAUGCAAGUCGAACGCCCCGCAAGGGGAGUGGCAGACGGGUGAGUAACGCGUGGGAAUCUACCUUUUGCUACGGGAUAGCUCCGGGAAACUGGAAUUAAUACCGUAUGUGCCCUCCGGGGGAAAGAUUUAUCGGCAAAGGAUGAGCCCGCGUUGGAUUGGCUAGUUGGUGGGGUAAAGGCCUACCAAGGCGACGAUCCAUAGCUGGUCUGAGAGGAUGAUCAGCCACAUUGGGACUGAGACACGGCCCAAACUCCUACGGGAGGCAGCAGUGGGGAAUAUUGGACAAUGGGCGCAAGCUUGAUCCAGCCAUGCCGCGUGAGUGAUGAAGGUCUUAGGAUUGUAAAGCUCUUUCACCGGGGACGAUAAUGACGGUACCCGGAGAAGAAGCCCCGGCUAACUUCGUGCCAGCAGCCGCAGUAACAC
rnacentral:rRNA from 1 species